GGUAGUGGCAGCGUUGUCCGGAUUAUUGGGCGUACAGGGCUCGCAGGCGGUUUCUUAAGUCUGACGUGAAAGCCCCCGGCUCAACCGGGGAGGGUCAUUGGAAACUGGGGAACUUGAGUGCAGAAGAGGAGAGUGGAAUUCCACGUGUAGCGGUGAAAUGCGUAGAGAUGUGGAGGAACACCAGUGGCGAAGGCGACUCUCUGGUCUGUAACUGACGCUGAAGAGCGAAAGCGUGGGGAGCGAACAGGAUUGAUACCCUGGUAGUCCACGCCGUAAACGAUGACUGCUACGUGUUAUUUGAAUCCUCCCCUGGGGGGGGGGGCUUUAUUUUUUUUCAACCCUUAAGACUCACCACAUCAUCGCCGCCAAUUACCGAGGGGUGGGGGGUCCUCCCCCACCUAAAAAUUAUCUCAGAAACGAACUGCCAAACACCAUGACCCUGACAUUCGCCCCGAAGCGGACGUCCUAUCUCAAGGAUUGGCCAAGAGUGUCGAAACGUGGGUAGGUUUUCUCGAUGUUCCUGAAAUAUAACACCAUGUUGCACCAGCUUUGUUGGGGGCCCCCGACAAUUUUUUUUGAGAUUCACCCCUUGCGAACCGUAAUCCCCCGGUGGAGUGGUUUAUUGACGUUAACUGCACAAUUAAGGGGCGGAAAACCCCCUAACACUUAAGAAUUCCUUCGUUUAAU
rnacentral:rRNA from 1 species